GACGAACGCUGGCGGCGUGCCUAAUACAUGCAAGUUGAGCGCUGAAGGUUGGUACUUGUACCAACUGGAUGAGCAGCGCACGGGUGAGUAACGCGAGGGAAAUCUGCCUUUGAGCGGGGGACAACAUUGGGAAACGAAUGCUAAUACGGCAUAAAAACUUUAAACACAAGGUGGAAGUGUGAAAGAUGCAAGUGCAUGACUCAAAGAUGAUCCAGCGGUGUAUUAGCUAGUUAGUGAGGUAAAGGCGCACGAAGGUGAGGAUACAUAGCCGACGUGAUAGGGCGGGCAGCCGCCCUGGGACUGUGACACGGCCCAAACUCCUUGAGGAAGCAGCAGUAGGGCAUCUUCGGGAAUGGGCGAAAGUCUGUCCGAGCUAGGCCGCGGCCGUGAAGAACAUUUCCGGAUCGUAAAACUCGGUUGGUAGAGAAGAACGUUGGUGAGACUGGAACGCUCCUCAAGUGACGGUAACUACCAAGAAAGCGACGGCUAACUACGUG
rnacentral:rRNA from 1 species